GUCAAAAUAAUGUCAAAAUAAAAUUUGCUUGUGGUGUGUUUUUGUGAAGUGGACUUCCUGAAUCUUUAUUUAUCAUGGGAUUUUUCACUAACUUUGUUGGAUAUUGAGUGUUGAUUGUAUGAUAGUUUUGUGUAGUACGUGAUAAAAAGGAAGUGGGAUGUUGGAAUGAAGAUGAUUAAGUCAAUGGAAGGCAAAUUCAAGGAUUUCAACAUUGACUGUCCAUACUAUUAUUGAUUUGGCAAGAAGUCAACACAUCGAGAUUUUCUCAGGAAAGCAAAACAACAAGAGAUUGAGAUAAAAACAAUCUGUGUUUGGGAUUUAAGAGAAGAAUGAGGAAUGCUGCCUGUAGAGAUAACUUAAGUCAAACUUUAGAAUAUUACUGAGUAUCCGAGGAUACAAACGUGAAAAAAAAUAAGCUGCCUUGAAUCCCUUCUCUCCCAAAAUCGCAUUGUAGGAGUAUUUGUCGAGAUUCCAGGGAGAAUCCUGCACCAUCAAUGUUUGAGAGGAGAAUUGCUAGACAAGUGAUGAUUUCCACCAACGACCAAUACACAUUUGACUCCAUUCAAGACGUGAUCAGUUUCACCCAGAACAGCUCACUUCACACAUUCCGGGAGAUGUGGUAUCACAUAUUCCUGUGGGCACUCUUCUCAUCGAUAUUUGUCCACACAAUAGCUGCUUUGGUGGCAUUUGUGACACUGCGAAAGCACAAAUUUGGCCGAUUCUUUUCAAUCCUCAUCCUGAUUAUGGGUGUGGUAUCCCCAGCUACUUCGGGUGUGGUAAGUUCAGCAGCAAUUGCCUUCGUACACCGAGCGUCCAGCCUGCACAUGAGUCCAAUUUAUGCAAUGAUUUGGGGAGUAGGACAGACUCUUCUGUCUGCCUGCAUUGGCUUCACACGAAUUCUUGCCACUCUGUAAACUAUCUUAGAAAUAAGUAAUGAACGGGAUAAAAGUAUCAAUAAAUAGCCCAAUGUCUCUGUUUUCUACAAUAUCCUGAAGUAUAAUCUAUUCAUAAAUUGCCUGGGUUUUCUUACUUAAGCCAAGAGAUUAGGCAGCAAAGAAUGUGCAAUAAGGAUAUGCAGUAAAUUGGGGAUUUCUACCUUAUUGAUAUUGUGUAAAAUAAUUUUUUUCAUAAAUGUUGCAUGUAUAGUACGUGUAUAUUUCCUCAAAUAGGUAGUGAAAAAAAUCACAAAAAGUUAGUUUUUCAACAAUUUUUCACUUAUACUAUGGACACUUUCGAUUGCUACUACAAUGUAUAAAAAAAAGGAAAACAUUCAAAAUUUCAUACGAAAGUUUCA